UUGGCAGACGGGUGAGUAACACGUGGGAACAUGCCCAAAGGUACGGAAUAUUCUCGGGAAACUGGGAGCAAUACCGUAUGUGCCCGAAAGGGGAAAGAUUUAUCGCCUUUGGAUUGGCCCGCGUUGGAUUAGCUAGUUGGUGGGGUAAAAGCCUACCAAGGCGACGAUCCAUAGCUGGUCUGAGAGGACGACCAGCCACACUGGGACUGAGACACGGCCCAGACUCCUACGGGAGGCAGCAGUGGGGAAUCUUGGACAAUGGGCGCAAGCCUGAUCCAGCCAUGCCGCGUGUGUGAAGAAGGCCUUCGGGUUGUAAAGCACUUUAAGUUGGGAAGAAAAAGCUUCACCUAAUACGGGAGCCUUGACGGUACCGCAGAAUAAGCACCGGCUAA
rnacentral:rRNA from 1 species